rfam:Bacillus coagulans 36D1, complete genome.
UGAGUCCUGGGGUGUUCGUAUAUGUUCCUAUCGUUUUGACCGAACACUUCAUUAUCGGGGGCCCGGAGUCACCAGACGGCGUGCAUGCCCUUUGCGGGGACGCAUAAAGCCUGGUGCAGGGCACCCACCUGCUCGAGAGCGGGAUCAAAACAGAGGAUUGCAAGAACGGCACGUCCGGGGCUCAU